rnacentral:rRNA from 1 species
AACGCUGGCGGCAGGCCUAACACAUGCAAGUCGAGCGGAAACGAGUUAUCUGAACCUUCGGGGGACGAUAACGGCGUCGAGCGGCGGACGGGUGAGUAAUGCCUAGGAAAUUGCCCUGAUGUGGGGGAUAACCAUUGGAAACGAUGGCUAAUACCGCAUAAUACCUACGGGUCAAAGAGGGGGACCUUCGGGCCUCUCGCGUCAGGAUAUGCCUAGGUGGGAUUAGCUAGUUGGUGAGGUAAUGGCUCACCAAGGCGACGAUCCCUAGCUGGUCUGAGAGGAUGAUCAGCCACACUGGAACUGAGACACGGUCCAGACUCCUACGGGAGGCAGCAGUGGGGAAUAUUGCACAAUGGGCGCAAGCCUGAUGCAGCCAUGCCGCGUGUGUGAAGAAGGCCUUCGGGUUGUAAAGCACUUUCAGUCGUGAGGAAGGUAGUGUAGUUAAUAGCUGCAUUAUUUGACGUUAGCGACAGAAGAAGCACCGGCUAACUCCGUGCCAGCAGCCGCGGUAAUACGGAGGGUGCGAGCGUUAAUCGGAAUUACUGGGCGUAAAGCGCAUGCAGGUGGUUUGUUAAGUCAGAUGUGAAAGCCCGGGGCUCAACCUCGGAAUAGCAUUUGAAACUGGCAGACUAGAGUACUGUAGAGGGGGGUAGAAUUUCAGGUGUAGCGGUGAAAUGCGUAGAGAUCUGAAGGAAUACCGGUGGCGAAGGCGGCCCCCUGGACAGAUACUGACACUCAGAUGCGAAAGCGUGGGGAGCAAACAGGAUUAGAUACCCUGGUAGUCCACGCCGUAAACGAUGUCUACUUGGAGGUUGUGGCCUUGAGCCGUGGCUUUCGGAGCUAACGCGUUAAGUAGACCGCCUGGGGAGUACGGUCGCAAGAUUAAAACUCAAAUGAAUUGACGGGGGCCCGCACAAGCGGUGGAGCAUGUGGUUUAAUUCGAUGCAACGCGAAGAACCUUACCUACUCUUGACAUCCAGAGAACUUUCCAGAGAUGGAUUGGUGCCUUCGGGAACUCUGAGACAGGUGCUGCAUGGCUGUCGUCAGCUCGUGUUGUGAAAUGUUGGGUUAAGUCCCGCAACGAGCGCAACCCUUAUCCUUGUUUGCCAGC